rfam:Brassica napus, WGS project CCCW01000000 data, contig: 23217
AAGCUAUGAUGUGGGCAUUGAUACCAAUAGCCCUUGAACCUCUCCCAAGCUUCACUAAAGCCCUCUAGGUUCUUCUGCUGAAAGCUAGAGAUCUCAUUCCUGAUCUU